rnacentral:lncRNA from 1 species
AGGAGAGUGUGUCCUGGAGAAGGCUUGGCGAUGAGGUUGGUUGGGUUGGCAUUAGGUUCGUUGGUUCAGUGCUUUGAGUGGGUGAGAACAGGUGGUGAGUUGGUGGACAUGAGCGAAGGCACUGGGCUUACCAUGCCUAGAGCUCAACCUUUGCUAGCAAUGUGUAGGCCAAGACCCGCGAUGGUGACCCUCCUUUCUCAACUUUGAGUACUCUUGUUUCUUGUGGUGUAAUUGUGUUGACUUUCUUAGUUUUAGCAAUCGAACUGUCAAAUGACAAAUUGGCAAUUCUGCAAUCCCCACGUAAGUUGUUCAAUUCCAUCGUUUCUUAAUUUAUAUUAGUUUGUUUUCGAUUAAGAGAACAUUUUAGAAGGCAAAAUUUUUCCUAUAUUAUAUAGUUUUUCUUUAGUGAGAACAUUUUUAAGAUAUCAGUAAAAUAAAAAGGUAUUCAUUUUAAUACAUUGAAGAAUAAAGACGGUAUCUUUUUAUAUUUUUAUUGAUGAGAAUGUCCUUUUAGAAAAUGAUUAUACACACACAUACUAUUUUUCCGGUCCUCUUGAUCGCUUUAAGAUGUCUCGGGCGGAAAAACCCUAUACGAUUAUAAUUAUGAUAUUAUUCUCUGACCUAAACUAUGAAUAAUCUGCAUACGUGUCAUCUCCUUAAGAUGCUCUAAUACAAAAUGGAUUCAGUGAGGUCUCCUUAUAAAAAAGACCACCCCGCUCUGUAGGUAAAAUCCUAAGACCGAAGCAUUUAAAAAAAGAGAAACUUUUUCUCUUAAGUUGUUAUCUCGGCAACUCUGCGUUCUGACUUAAGCAUUGAAGGUAUUCACUGGUAACAACAUUAGGGGUCUUACAAUGUCGGCAACAACAUUGGUGCCCUUCCGAUUUUCUUGUUUCAUAGGCAAGGACGUUAAAUCCAAAGCUUGAGAUUUCUUUCGACUAGUGGCCUCAUUGAAUCCCAACCUUUUUAUUGCCCGUUCACUUUAAUCCCGACCUUAUUAUUCCUCGAUCAUUUUAAGGUACAAACUAUUGGUGUCUAAAAGUGUAUUAUGGUUGCUUAAAAAAUCAUCAAAUUACUUUUCGCUUUCUGGAUCGUAACUUGUAAGGAACAUUUUAAAAAGGCUGUGACUAAGUUAUAGAUUCUGUAAUUAACUAACCGUUAAUAUGAUUGGUUGGAUUAAAAGUUAGAAGUCGGAUGGAUGUUCAUUAAUUUAAAUAAAAAGAAAAGUGUUGGGUCUACCGACUAGAAAGGUUUUUCGGCAACUAAUAUUGUGGGUUAAUCAAUUUAUAUACCUCUCAAUACAUAAACUUCAUGGCUACGUGCCUAUUAGGUGUGGACAAAAUCGAAUUCGGAUUGGGUUUGGAUCAACCUGAUUGGAUUUCAGAUUAAUCGGAUUAAGAAAAAUGUCACCCAAACUGCGCCCAACUUUUAGAUCGGAUCGAAUCAGAUUUCGAUCCGAUCCCAACGUAUUCGGAUUGAAUAGGAUCGGAUAAAAAAUUGGGUCAAAUUCAAAUCAAAACGGGUUAAGCUUAGCCACGAAAUCACAUAUACAAAUACAAACAUUCCCAAUCAAAAAAGCAUAAAGCAAACAUCUCAUCUUAUCAUACAAAAUGAAAAAUCAAAGUCUUAUUAUUUAGAAAUCAAACUAUGCACUCGAUCUAACAAAUACAAUUCAAUAUUAAUUUGCCUUGCAUUUCAAACAACAUAGAACUCAAUAUAGUGAUGAAAAAAAUGAUUAUAUUUGAUCCAAUAUAUCAAUGAACCCAGAAUUCAAUAUUCCUAAAAAUAAUGCUGAAAAUAAAGGUUAAUUAAAUUGGUAUCAAAUGAAUUUUAAAAAAUAAUCAAUUUUUUUAUGAAAAAAUAUGAAAAAGCAAAGAUUUUGAAGGGAAAAUUUACUGAAGAGAGAGAACCCGAAUAGGAAAGUGGGAGAAUCUAAGAUCCAAGAAAAGGCAUAAUUAGAAGGGAGGGUUGGUGAUGGUGGCUGUCGGUUGAGAUGGAUCAAUCUGUGUAGUGGUCGCGGUGACCAGUGGAGGAAGCGACAGCAGCGGUUGAGCUGCAGCAGAACCUGUUGGUGCAUCGCAAACUGGCCAUGGCUUGGCUUCACACGGUUGCGUCGAUGACUAUUGGCUGCUGUGCUGCCAUCUACGUCUGGUGUCUCUAAUUUGUCUUUGGUGAGUGCUGCCGCUACGUAUGUAUGUAGUGUGAGUUGAGUAUUGAGUAGUGUGAGGGAGCGAAUCACGAUGGAAAUAAAUUAGGUUCAGAUGUUUAGAUUAGUUUUGUUCUUUUUAUGUUAAGACCAACUCAAUCAGGUUUUCGGAUUGGAUGGGGUUUAAUCUGAUCCGAUUAAAAUCCGUUCAAGUUAGAUAAAUGUCAUCUAAUCGGAUUGGACACGUAAUUCGAUCUGAUUCGAACGUGAUUUUUUCGGAACGGAUUAGGUUGGGUCAGGACAGGUUGAAUCGGAUUAUUUGCCCACCUUUAGUGCCUAUAAUAGUUCCUUUAAAAUAAAAUAAUUAUUUUGUUUAUAAAAGUUUUAAUAUUACAAAGAUGGCAACCAAUCAAAGAGUGAUAUAUGUAUUUCCCCUACUGGUGGUCAAAUUUUACUUUUACUUAAUUAUACGUAUCUAAAAUUAACAAAAUUCACCAACACACAUGUCAUAUAAGUAUAUAUAUGUUUGUUUUAAUUUUUUUUUUGUCUUUUUUCUCAAAACAUUAGGGGAUCAAAAUGUCCUGAUCCCAAAAUAAUAUACUGCGAAUAAAAAACAUCCGUAGUUUGCAAUAUUAAAAUUUAAAUUAAGUUUUAUAACUCAUUCCAAUGAGACAAGUGAAAAAUCAGUAUGCUCACUUCGCCGGUGAGUGGCAUAUCAUGCUGAUUGUCAUUGGCCUACUAAUACGUUUGAUUGACUUUAUAAUUAUUGUUAUGAUGACCUAUUCACACCUUAACAAAUAUUUUAAAUACUUAUAUUUUACUAACAUAUUAUAUAUCUGAAUUACCCAUGAUGUAAAAUUUUGCCAUCAUACAAAUAGACUUUUGCUACUUUUGACAAUCAUCUAACUCAUUCAUCGAAACUACAAUCAUUUUUUCCUUGAUCUAAAGAAUUUCUCUCUACAUAAAAUUUAGUACUUAAAAAAUUACAAAAUCAAUAAAUAUUCUCAAUUCUAAUAAUUGGGACCUUAUUGCAUUUAUAAUUCAUUCCUGUACUAAUUUUCUGCUGCAAUUAAAUCAAAUGUGAGAAUCAAAAUUUAUGUUAUUUGGAUGCCGUAAUAGAACUUAUCACACGUAUUUUUAUUUUUUUGGAAAACGUACACCUACAUUCCCAAAAUUUAAGAAAAUAGUUAUAUAAACCUCUAAGUUUUUAAUAAGUGACACCAAAAUCCCCUUUUAACUAGAAUACCCUUUGACUUUAUUAACUAAAAAAAUGACUCUAAUGUUCUAUAAUAAAUAUAAAUAUAAUUAUAAAAUAAAUUUUACAAUUAAGAUAAUUUUAGUAUUUAAAUUUUUUUAAUACUUUGCAACCUUAUAUUAUGUUAAACUAAAUUUUAUAAUAAAUAAAACAUAAUAUAAUAUUAUAUAAAAUAGUUUUAAUAUUAUGAAUGCAUGAGAUUUAUUUUAUUGAUUGUAAAAGCUAUUUAACCCAAAGAUUUACUUAAAAUUUUUAUAAUAAAUACAAAUAUAUUAUUAAAAUAAAUAUAAAAAAUUUACAUUUUAAAAAUUAUUUUAUAUAUUAAAAAUAUUAUAAUAUUAUUAGUCUAUUAGACAAAUUAAACUACAUAAAUUAUUAUUUUUAUUUAUUAAAAAAUUAUAAAGUGAAUUAUUUUAGUUACUAUCUAUAAAGGGUAUUAUAGUUAAAAGGGAGUCAUAAUAUACUUUAUUAAAAACUUGAGAGUUUACAAGAUAACUUUCCUAAAUUUCAAGAGUGUAGUUGUCAUUGUCCCUUUUUUAUUUUUAAAUAUCACUCUUGACCAAUCAAUUUCAAUAUAAAAAACAAAAAAAAUGGACAUCAUUGGCAAGCGGCCAAAAAAUUGACAAAAAGAAAGGUUUAAACACUUGUACUUUGCAAAAAGAUCUUUUAAAAAACCACCAUUAAUUUUACUUUUUUAUUUUUAUUUAAAAAAAACGGCCAUUUUAAAAUGUCAUCACAACUCGUUUAUUUUCCAAUGAUAUUAUGUCUAAUGUCUUAAAUAUAAAAAUGGCAAGUUAGAUCUAGAUGACACGUCAUUUGUCUUUGUAUACAUAAUCUACACGUCGUUCACGUAAUAUACCUGUACACGACUUGUCAUCCAAAAUAUUUAUAAAAAUACUACGUGCUGUUGCAUAUUCUUUAUGAUCCGUUGUUUGACUUUUUAAGGGCAAUGACACGUCAUUUAAUUGAUAUCCGCAUUGAUGACAAGACAUAUUUUCAUUUUAAAUGGCAACAACAAGUCCUCAUAUAAGAAGAAUUCUGCAUGAUUUUAAUAAAAGUAAGAGAAUAUUGAUUUCUUAACAACUAAAUAGAAUAAUAAACUAUUUCAACAAUUUAUAUAUUUUUUAAUGUUUGUUUUACUUCAGAAAACUAAAAUUAGAAAAUCAUUUCUUGGCCUCUGUUAGGCUCGUGUCAAAUUUGGUCCAAUAACGUAAAAAUUGUAUAUAUUAUGCGUAAUACAUUUUAUUUGAAAUAUUUAUUUCUUCUUACUAUUAGUAUAUGUGAAUAAAGAGACCAUUUAUAAAAGUAAAAUUAUAAAAUUAAAACGCUAUAAGCUAAACCAAAUAAAAUAAAAGGUAACUCAUUUAUCCCAAAAUAUUGUUUUUUUUUUUAACUUGUACUUGACAAAAAAUUGAAAAAAACAACGUGUCAUUUAUUUCUUCAACUAAACGACAAGCAUAAAUAGUAUUUUUUAGCACAUACUAUUUACAAUCCGUCAUUUGAAUUUUGAUCCAAAUCGAUUGGAUAUUUAUUUAAUAGUCAAUAAGACGACCCGAUAUAUUCUUAUUUGACUUGUCAACAACAAGUCAUCGGUUGAGAUGAAUUUCACUUAAUUUUAAUCAAAGUAAGAGAUCGCUUGUUUUUAACACUUCAAUAAAAUAAUAACUUGUUCCAGUAAUUUAUAUAUUUUUAAGUGUUUGUUUGUUUUGGAAAACUAAAAUAUAAAAAAAUGAUAUCUUGCCUCUCAUUAGGCUCAUUUUAAAUUUAGUCAAAUAAUUUAAAAGUUGUACAUGUUAUUAGUAAUGCGUUUUAUUUGAAAUAUUUAUUUUUUCUUAAUAUUAAUAUGUGUGGAUAGAGAGACCAUUAAUAAAACUAAUUUUAGAAAAUCCAAAGACCAUUAACUAAAACAAAAUAAAUAAAAGAUAGCUGAUUUUUCCCAAAAUAGUUUUUUUUUAAUAAAAAAUACCAUUAACUUUGCUUUUCUCUUUUUUUUUUUUCUUAGGAAAAGACCUUUGUAAAAUUUUAUUUUAGACAUGAUAAGUCAUUUAUGUUUUGAAUGACAUUACAUCCAAUGUCUUAAAAUUUAAAUGGCAAGCAAGAUCUAGAUGACACGUCCGUUGUCGUUGGAUAAAUAAAUGUCGCAUCGUGCAUUUCAUAUAUAUAUAAAAUGAUGCAGCAUCCCCAUUAUUUAUAUAAAAAACAAGCGUCAAUAGUAUGCACCAAUGCAUACUAUUUAUAGUAUGUCGUUUGAGUUUUGAGGGAAACAACUCGUCAUUUACUUGAUUAACUCGGAGACAACAUAACAUUUGAUUAUUGUUCAAUGACACGUCAUAUGUUAAGAUGAAUUCCACUUGAUAUUAAGGAAAAUAACAUAUCGUUUGUUUUAAUGAUUAAAUAGAAUAAUUCAAUAUUGAAGAAAGAGAAGUAUUAUCUUAUUUGAAAAAUAUUAUUUGGAGAGUUUUUUGAAAAUUUUAAUUAAAUAUUAUAUUACUUUUUAUCUUAUUAUUCUUGAAGAGAGAAGUGUUAUAAUUGUUAUUAUUUUGAUAGAAGAAAAAGUUUGAUUAAAAUAAUAUAAACUUAUUUUUAUUUUGAAGAUUCUUUUGAAAAAUGACUUUUUUUUUUACUCUUCUAUUUUCUUCAUAACUAAACAAAUAAUUUUUUCAAGAAUUAAAUUAAAAGAAUCUUUUGAUGAUGCUCUAAGUAUGGUCGCUUACCAAUGAUUUUAGCUUAUUUUUUUAAUAUUUUUUUGCAAAUAAAAUUUCCACGACCUGACCUUAUCCUCUUCAUAUUUUAUAGAUACAUAUUUACUAAGAAUUUUUAAUUGAUAAUUCUCUGGGUCAUCCUACAAUGUAAAGGCUAUUAUAGGCCAUAUAAUUAAAAUUACUUAUAAGAGCUUACUAUAUUUAGAUAGAUAUUCCAACUAACAUGGAAUUAAAAUAUAACUCUAUGAAACAAGUAACAAUAUUCACUAAUAUGAUUUUGGCCUGUACUUAAUAACAGAGUUUCACAUAAUAAUUUCACUCUAGAAUCCCUAGAGUACAAUUGAACUUUUAGAUAUGCUAUAAAGAGAGAGAGAAAAAAAAAAAGAAUUUCUCAUUUCAACUUUGCUAAUGCUUUCUUCCUAUAUUUCAAAAUAGAGAAAUCAUAAAGUACCUCAAGAAUAAAAAUUCAAAUUUUAGAUUAAAAGUUAAAAAGAAUUGCUCAAUUGGAGAAUGAAUUAAACAAAAAUUAAAUUCAUUUGCAACCAAGCCAAUUCUUGUUCAUUACUCAACCAUGCAAGAUUAGAGGGAAAAAAAGAUAAAAUAAUCCCUGAGGGAUAAAGAAAACUACUGCUAUUGUCUUUUAAUGGAAUGUGAUGUUUUCUCUUUCAAAAAUUUUUUUUAAAAAAAAAUUGUUUCCCACGAUGAUUUUUUUGUUUUUAAAAAAAUUAUUAAAAAUUAAAAAAAAUAUUCUUCACUUGCACCAACAUAUGAACUUUUAACUCCAAAGUUAUAAGAGGAGUGCUACUUACAAUUUUACACUGAAAAAUUCAUUUCAAAUUAAUGUUAACUCCGAAGUUAUAACAUGCAGCUAUUCUGUGAAGCUGAGUAGGCAACAGUAUAAACGUCUGUUCAAAUUUUCAAUGCAUUUGGGAAGAAGAAACUCUGGUUAGAUGAUGGCCAUUUCAAUUUUCUAACAAGCGAACAAGCACUUUUAACUAGAAAGUAAUAUAAUUAUCCAAAAUUGAAUAUUAUAUUAGAGAAAUAAAUCUCAGAACCAAUCACUUAACGAGCAAAUGACAUAAAAUUUGUGAAAUUUGAAAUAAUAUCAAAAAGAAAAAGAUUGUUCAAAUUAAAAUUUGUAAAAUGAAAAAAAAAAUAAAUAAACGGACAUCAUUCUCAGCCUAGAAAGAUAUAGUAAUAGAUAAUUCAUUUCUUCAUAUAGAUGGAUACGUAUUAAGAUAUCUUAAUAGAUAAUUCUUUAGUUUCUAGAAGAUUGCACUAAUUUCGACAACCGCAAUGCCACUGACAUGCAGCGGGUUUAGGAUAUGUCGAUUUACAAAAAAUGUCCCUUCCUGGUUGUAAAAACUACAUAGGUUAUAAUUUCUAAGUGGCAGAAAUAAACCCAACAUAAAAUGGCAACAUAAAAUACAAAUUUUAUUUCUCACUGGACGGCAACGAGCAAGUUAGUAGUAGUCCCUACAUGACGUGUCCUUGUGCCUAGUGCUGCCAAUAUUAUUUAUUGCAUUGUCCAAUUUUGUCCGGUCUCGGAUACUAAUGCUCCGUUUACUUUUUAGAUUGGAGUGAGAAUCCUUGGAUUAUGAAUAUAGAGUGGGAGUGAGAGUAGAGUGUUUACUUAAAUUAAAUGAAAGUAUGGAUUGUCAAUCAGAAUCCUAAUUAUUUGUUUACUUUGUCUUGAAUUAGGAGUAAAUUAUUUUAAAUUACAAUUUUAUCCUUAUGUACAGAAUUAUAAUUUGUAAUUAAAAAAUUAAUAAAAAAUAUAUUUGAAAAAUAAAAUAAAUAUUUUAUUAUAUUUAUAAAUUAAUAAUAAUUACUAAUAUUCUUAAUUAUGUAAAUCAUAAUUUUUUAUUAAUUUUAAUUUAAAUUAUGUGAAUAAAAAUUAUUAAUAAUAGCAACACAAAUGAAAUAUUAUUAUUGAUAAUAUAAUACAAAAUUAAUAUUUUUUUAGAAUAAAAUAUUAAUUAUUAUUAAUUAAUUAAAUAAUUAAUAUUUAUUAAAAUUAAUGUUUAAUAUUAUUAAUUUAAAUAUAAUAUUUAUUUAUUUUUAUUUUAUUAAAUUUAAUAAAAUAAAUAUGAUAUAAUUAUUAUUUUUAUUAAAUAUGAUAUUAUUUAUUUUAUUAAAUAUUAUUUAUUUAUUUUAAUUAUGAGGGUAAAAUGGGAAGAGGGGGGAGUGGAUUCCCACUCCCACCUCCCCCAUGGGAGUGAGAAUCCCACUCCCCACUCCAAAAUUAGAUAGGACCCACGGAGUGAGAAUCACACUCCCCCAUUUUUUAAGAUAAGUAAACACUGAAAUGUAAGGAAUCCACACUCCACACUCCCACUUCAAAAAAUAAACACUACCUAAAAAAUUUGUCAGCAUAUCAGUGUGUGGCUUUGAUGGAACCCAAAAUAUGCUCACUCGCUCUCGCCCCAUUCUAACACCACUCAUUCUCCUCCUUGUUCAGACUGCAUACUGCUGAUAGAAUCAUCAAAUCGCAACUAGCGUCGUCAAAAAAAGAAAAAAAAAAAAAUCCAUGGAUUCCUUAUUCUACUACUGCUUUCUUAUCCUUUUCUCCUCAUAUUUCCUAACAAAAUAUUUCCUCCAAGUUAACAGAAAUCUCCCACCCAGUCCUGCGGUUCACUACCCAUAAUAGGCCAUCUCCACUUGUUGAAGAAACCCCUUCAUCGAACCCUGGCCAAACUAUCAAACCAAUAUGGUCCCAUUCUAUUCAUUAGGUUCGGUUCUCGACCUGUCGUCCUUGUAUCUUCCCCUUCUGCUGCAGAGGAAUGCUUCACCAAAAAUGACAUCAUAUUCGCCAACCGCCCUCGCCUGCUUGCAGGAAAACAUCUUGGUUACAACUACACCACCCUCGUUUGGGCCCCUUAUGGUGACCAUUGGCGCAACUUGCGCCGCAUAGCUUCUCUUGAACUCUUGUCAUCUAAUCGCCUGCAGAUGUUUCAUGGCAUCCGCGUUGACGAGGUCAAGCUACUGUGUCAAAGGCUCUUCCGAGGAUCAGAGAGCGGUGAGUACCGGAUUGUUGACAUGAAGUCUAUGUUUUUUGAGCUAACUGUAAAUGUAGUGAUGCGGAUGAUUGCUGGGAAGCGAUAUUAUGGAGAGAACGUGUCAGGAUCGGAGGAUGCCAGAAGAUUUAAAGCAAUUGUUACUGAGACUCUUCAAUUGAGUGCUGCUACUAAUCUUGUAGAUUUUUUGCCAUUUGUCAAGUCGGCUGGAUUGAACAAGACUGAAAAGAGGCUAUUGAUACUGCGUGCGAAACGAGAUAAGUUCAUGCAGGAAUUGAUUGAAGAGCAUAGAAGACUGAGGUGUGAUUCUGUUUCUGAACAGAGGAGUAGAACUAUGAUUGAUGUGCUAAUAUCACUGCAAGAGACUGAGCCUGAAUAUUAUACAGAUCCUAUAAUCAGAGGGAUGAUGCAAGUAAUUGCUGAUUUGUCUUGAAAAUUUUAAUUAAUUAAACUUGUAAUUAAUUUCUCAAUGAUUAAUUUUUUGAAGCAUUAUUGCCUGAUUAUGUCUCCAGGUCCUGCUAAUAGCAGGGUCAGACACUUCGUCUGCAACUAUGGAAUGGGCACUGUCAAGUUUGCUAAACAAUCCAGAGAUCCUUGUACAAGCUCAAUCAGAAAUUGACACAAACGUUGGGCAAAGCCGGCUAAUUGAGGAAUCUGAUCUUACCGAACUUCCAUAUCUCCACGGCAUCAUCAAAGAGACACUCAGGAUGUACCCUGCAGCUCCACUACUAGUUCCUCAUGAAUCGUCCGAGGAGUGCACUAUAGGAGGUUUCAAAGUUCCACGUGGCACAAUGUUGUUGGUGAACUCGUGGGCCAUACAAAAUGAUCCUAGAAUAUGGGAAGAGCCCUCAAAAUUCAAGCCAGAGAGGUUCCGGGAAAUGGCAGGGAAAAGUGAUAAGUAUAUGCUUUUGCCAUUUGGGACAGGGAGGAGAGUGUGUCCUGGAGAAGGCUUGGCGAUGAGGUUGGUUGGGUUGGCAUUAGGUUCAUUGAUUCAGUGCUUUGAGUGGGUGAGAACAGGUGGUGAAUUGGUGGACAUGAGGGAAGGCACUGGGCUUACCAUGCCUAGAGCUCAACCUUUGCUAGCAAUGUGUAGGCCAAGACCCUCGAUGGUGACCCUCCUUUCUCAACUUUGAAUACUCUUGUUUCUUGUGGUGUAAUUGUGUUGACUUUCUUAGUUUUAGCAAUCGAAUUGGCAAUUCUACAAUCCCCACGUAAGUUGUUCAAUUCUAUCGUUUCUUAAUUUAUAUUAAUUUCUUUUCGAUUAAGAGGAAAUUUUAGAAAACA